rnacentral:rRNA from 1 species
UACGGAGGGUGCAAGCGUUAUCCGGAUUCACUGGGUUUAAAGGGUGCGUAGGUGGGCAGGUAAGUCAGUGGUGAAAUCCCCGGGCUUAACCCGGGAACUGCCAUUGAUACUAUCUGUCUUGAAUAUCCUGGAGGUGAGCGGAAUAUGUCAUGUAGCGGUGAAAUGCUUAGAUAUGACAUAGAACACCCAUUGCGAAGGCAGCUCACUACGGGAUCAUUGACACUGAGGCACGAAAGCGUGGGGAUCAAACAGG